rnacentral:rRNA from 1 species
GACGAACCGUGCAAACGUUGUCCGGAAUUAUUGGGCGUAAAGAGCUCGUAGGCGGUCUGUUGCGUCCGCUGUGAAAACUCGGGGCUUAACCCCGAGCCUGCAGUGGAUACGGGCAGACUAGAGGUAGGUAGGGGAGAAUGGAAUUCCCGGUGUAGCGGUGAAAUGCGCAGAUAUCGGGAGGAACACCGGUGGCGAAGGCGGUUCUCUGGGCCUUACCUGACGCUGAGGAGCGAAAGCGUGGGGAGCGAACAGG